GCUUUUUAUGUGUUGUUAUGAAAAAACCUGAUGAGCAGUGGUUUUCUGACAUCGAGUCUCUGGGAGUCUCCCAUCGUUUCUUUCUUUUUUGAGAGAAUGGAGCAGCUUCUUGAAAUUUGAGCUAAUAAGGCGGCUGUUAGGAAAUUUGCUGUGUUAUAGUUGCCGAUCAGGCUGAUAAUCAGAAGAAAUGUAGGAGACCUCAUUGGACGAGACCUCUUGCAGCCCAUCACACAGGUGUGUGGUGCUCCUGUUGUGGCCAAGGUGUCUUCUAGGACAAGCCCGGAUGGAGUCUCCAGAGUCAAGACGGCAGAGAGAAUACAGCCAGCACAGCGCCGAUAUCCCCCAGGGCCACUGCACCUACAGAGCGAGGGCUUGGCUCUUCCUGCCACCUGUCUUGCCUGCCCAGGGACUGCAUGCCCACCUGCCCAACCUGUAGACCAGAGCACAGAAGGAAGGGGGCUCCUGCCAAACUUGGUAAGGAUUAUUUUGAAAGAGAGAGAGAAAAAUUUUUUUAUAAAGUAACCAGGAGAGGGUUACAGACCUCAAGGCUGGAAAGGAGAGAAAUGAUGGUUUGAGGGGCUCUGACUUAAGGCCAGAUCAUCCUGCCUACUGAGACCUGAUCUAAUGGACACAAGUAUCUCUCCCUUGACUGUCAGUACCUGGAAGUCUUAUUCUACGACUUUUCCUCCAUUGUUUUCUGUUCCCUGUUCUGUUGUUUGGCCCACCACAUUGCCUGGCUCACAGUGGAUAUCAAGUGAACAUUUUUCCAACAAGUUAAACAAGAGAAGGGAUAAAAGAAUCUUAACUCAAAACAAAGGAGAAAUGGAUUUACACUGAGGCAUCAGGAUAGAGGUGUACCUGCAGGGGGAUUUCUUGGCAGGGAACGUUACUGAACUCUGUUAUGGGUUGUUGAGGAAGUUUCAUGUAAUCCAAGGAGAUGCAUGAUCACAGUAGAAUUUUGACAAUUCUGGAAUGAUUUCAGUGGGCUGCCUGGAGGAGGGCAUGGCCCAGCUACUCGCAUGCCUCAUCCUUCCCUUGACGUUGAUGGUUCUCAUUCUCAGGAAGGUUCUGCCUUCCUUUUUCUCCU
rnacentral:lncRNA from 1 species